GUGGGAGCUUGCUCCUACUGGAUUAGUGGCGAACGGGUGAGUAACACGUGAGCAAUCUGCCCCUGACUCUGGGAUAAGCGUUGGAAACGACGUCUAAUACCGGAUACGAGCUGGGACCGCAUGGUCACCAGCUGGAAAGAACUUUGGUCAGGGAUGAGCUCGCGGCCUAUCAGCUUGUUGGUGAGGUAAUGGCUCACCAAGGCGACGACGGGUAGCCGGCCUGAGAGGGUGACCGGCCACACUGGGACUGAGACACGGCCCAGACUCCUACGGGAGGCAGCAGUGGGGAAUAUUGCACAAUGGGCGCAAGCCUGAUGCAGCAACGCCGCGUGAGGGACGAAGGCCUUCGGGUUGUAAACCUCUUUUAGCAGGGAAGAAGCGAAAGUGACGGUACCUGCAGAAAAAGCGCCGGCUAACUACGUGCCAGCAGCCGCGGUAAUACGUAGGGCGCAAGCGUUGUCCGGAAUUAUUGGGCGUAAAGAGCUCGUAGGCGGUU
rnacentral:rRNA from 1 species